UGAAUGGAAGAAAGAACAAAGUGAAGAGAAAGGGCAAGUGAAGCGCGCGCCUUUUUCUUUUUCCUUUUCUUUUUCUUCCUUUCAUUCGUGUUUUGUUGUGCCUUUUUUGUUCCUUUGGU
rnacentral:ribozyme from 1 species